rnacentral:rRNA from 1 species
UACGUAGGGCGCAAGCGUUAUCCGGAAUUAUUGGGCGUAAAGAGCUCGUAGGCGGUGUGUCGCGUCGGCCGUGAAACCUGCAGCUUAACUGUGGGCUUGCGGUCGAUACGGGCAUCACUGGAGUUCGGCAGGGGAGACUGGAAUUCCUGGUGUAGCGGUGAAAUGCGCAGAUAUCAGGAGGAACACCGGUGGCGAAGGCGGGUCUCUGGGCCGAUGACUGACGCUGAGGAGCGAAAGCGUGGGGAGCGAACAGG